CAGAGUUGCAAAACUCCCAAACCAUUGUGGACGAACUUGACAGUUGCUUCGGCAGGUCGGCCUAGCGCCGCCCGGUGGCUCAUCGCGAGCCCGCCUGCCGGAGUUCCCGAAACUCUUGAUUAUUAUUGGUAUCUCUGAGUAGCUUAUUUAAUAAGUCA
rnacentral:misc_RNA from 1 species